rnacentral:rRNA from 1 species
GAAUGCUGACAUAAGUAACGAUAAAGCGGGUGAAAAGCCCGCUCGCCGGAAGACCAAGGGUUCCUGUCCAACGUUAAUCGGGGCAGGGUGAGUCGACCCCUAAGGCGAGGCCGAAAGGCGUAGUCGAUGGGAAACGGGUUAAUAUUCCCGUACUUGGUGUUACUGCGAAGGGGGGACGGAGAAGGCUAUGUUGGCCGGGCGACGGUUGUCCCGGUUUAAGCGUGUAGGUGUGUGUUCCAGGUAAAUCCGGUUCACUUUAACACUGAGGCGUGAUGACGAGGCACUACGGUGCUGAAGCAACAAAUGCCCUGCUUCCAGGAAAAGCCUCUAAGCAUCAGGUAACAUCAAAUCGUACCCCAAACCGACACAGGUGGUCAGGUAGAGAAUACCAAGGCGCUUGAGAGAACUCGGGUGAAGGAACUAGGCAAAAUGGUGCCGUAACUUCGGGAGAAGGCACGCUGACACGUAGGUGAAGUGAUUUACUCACGGAGCUGAAGUCAGUCGAAGAUACCAGCUGGCUGCAACUGUUUAUUAAAAACACAGCACUGUGCAAACACGAAAGUGGACGUAUACGGUGUGACGCCUGCCCGGUGCCGGAAGGUUAAUUGAUGGGGUCAGCGCAAGCGAAGCUCCUGAUCGAAGCCCCGGUAAACGGCGGCCGUAACUAUAACGGUCCUAAGGUAGCGAAAUUCCUUGUCGGGUAAGUUCCGACCUGCACGAAUGGCGUAAUGAUGGCCAGGCUGUCUCCACCCGAGACUCAGUGAAAUUGAACUCGCUGUGAAGAUGCAGUGUACCCGCGGCAAGACGGAAAGACCCCGUGAACCUUUACUAUAGCUUGACACUGAACAUUGAGCCUUGAUGUGUAGGAUAGGUGGGAGGCUUUGAAGUGUGGACGCCAGUCUGCAUGGAGCCGACCUUGAAAUACCACCCUUUAAUGUUUGAUGUUCUAACGUGGACCCGUGAUCCGGGUUGCGGACAGUGUCUGGUGGGUAGUUUGACUGGGGCGGUCUCCUCCUAAAGAGUAACGGAGGAGCACGAAGGUUGGCUAAUCCUGGUCGGACAUCAGGAGGUUAGUGCAAUGGCAUAAGCCAGCUUGACUGCGAGCGUGACGGCGCGAGCAGGUGCGAAAGCAGGUCAUAGUGAUCCGGUGGUUCUGAAUGGAAGGGCCAUCGCUCAACGGAUAAAAGGUACUCCGGGGAUAACAGGCUGAUACCGCCCAAGAGUUCAUAUCGACGGCGGUGUUUGGCACCUCGAUGUCGGCUCAUCACAUCCUGGGGCUGAAGUAGGUCCCAAGGGUAUGGCUGUUCGCCAUUUAAAGUGGUACGCGAGCUGGGUUUAGAACGUCGUGAGACAGUUCGGUCCCUAUCUGCCGUGGGCGCUGGAGAACUGAGGGGGGCUGCUCCUAGUACGAGAGGACCGGAGUGGACGCAUCACUGGUGUUCGGGUUGUCAUGCCAAUGGCACU